AUUGAACGCUGGCGGCAGGCCUAACACAUGCAAGUCGAACGAGUGGCGGACGUGUGAGCAAUGUCUGUGACACUGCCCGAUGGAGGGGGUUAACUACCGGAAACGGUUGCUAAAACCGCACUCCAUCGGCUGUGCCCAGGUGGGAUUAGCUUGUUGGUGGGGUAACGGCUCACCUAGGCGACGAUCCGUUGCUGGUCUGAGAGGAUGAACAGCCACACUGGAACUGAGACACGGUCCAGACUCCUACGGGAGGCAGCAGUGGGGAAUAUUGCACAAUGGGCGCAAGCCUGAUGCAGCCAUGCCGCGUGUGUGAAGAAGGCCUUCGGGUUGUAAAGUACUUUCAGCGGGGAGGCGUUACCCGCAGAAGAAGCACCGGCUAACUCCGUGCCAGCAGCCGCGGUAAUUC
rnacentral:rRNA from 1 species